UAAUAACCUGAAGAUAAAACACAAGGAAAUCUUUAGAAGGGAUAAAAUUGUUAAAUAUAUAUUACACUUUUCAAAAAGCUGCCUUUUCUUAGCCCUAAGUCUUUGAUAAAGAUAAAGCCUGUCUGGGAAAUCAAGAUGCACAUAAUUCCUAGUGCAUAAUAGAAAAGUGCCAGAAAAUUAUGUGAUUCAGAAUCACAAAGCAAGUUACAAAUAUUUGUUGUUUUAGCUUUGGAGGUACCUAAAAUGUGAAGAAAUAUCAUCUCUGGUUUACUGAUGGGGCAGAAAAGCAGUCAUCAGAUUUGACUGUGAUGGAAAAGGUGUCUCUGGUAAACCAGCAGUCCACACAGAGUUCCUCAGAGUAUGUAGAGUGCACAAAACUCUUGAUUAAUUAUUUCCAUUUCUUAAAUUUCCCUUCACAUACAAGAUACCAUGUAAUAUGCAGUUCAAUUCAGCAGGUUAAAUAAACAAAGUCUCUCUUACAGUUACUUGUAAAAGCAAUCCUGAAAGCAAGCUCUCUUCCUGUGUUGGAAGGACAUGGUGAAACUCUGGUACAGCACAUCUCCAUGGUCUCAGUUCUACAGAAUAUUAAAUAUUUGCCAUCAACUCCAAAACCCACACAUUUAUGACUUUUACAUUUGUAUCUUUCCCUUUCAUCUUCACUGAAUUUGAAUGUAAUUGUUUUCACCUGAAGAAUCUGGUAUAAUCCAAACACAAACCCAUAGAAGCCCUUGCUGUGCUAUGCUAUGCUAUACUGUACUGAGCUAUACUAUAACUAUUUAAUACACAAAAACACUGCUGACAGUGGAUUAGCACUCAGUUCUAGGUCAAGCCUGGGCCCAGCUCACAGUGAUGAAACUCUCAACUAAACAAUGAAAUCCCCCAUCCAGCAUUUUAUCACCUCAUGGUAUAUUCACGUGGGCACAGAUGCUCAGCCCUGGAGAGCAGCAGGGCAAACUGCCUAGUCUGAAGGGAAUGCAUGUUUUACCUGGUGGUACAGAACAGCAAGACUGUAUUUCUUUCAAUCUCUGCUCAGAAAAUUCAGGGAUGGUUGGUAUACCUUUCUAAGGUAACCAUGGUACUCUUGUGUACUCUUUUCACAGCUUCACAUGCUAUGGAUUCAAAAGAAGCACUAUCCAAAAAUAAGGCCUUGCUGCUUUUUCCUUUUUGCUAUGCUAAUUUGCAUUUUUGUCAUCAUCUUCUGUCCUAUCUAGGAACAUAAAAUUUCUUCCAAGGCAAAACUUACAAAAUCAUGACCACACUAGAGUAAAAUUAGCUUUUGAGGAUGUUACUGUCAAAUUCUUUUUUAAUACUUUUUUUUUUUUUAAUAGAGAUAGAUAGGCUUUACUCCUGUAAAAACUGAAAAAAAAAAAAUCACUUGCUUUAAGUGCUUUAUCACUUGUCUGGCUGAAAUAAGUGAUCAAAACUGCAAAGAAUUUCAUUUUUUAGCUUCAACCAGCAGAGUUCCAUUGAAUUCACAGCAAACACAUACAAAUAAGAAUUGUGAUGUGGUUUUUGUCCCUUUACUUUUACUUUUGCUUUCCAACAGAGGGAAUACCAGCUCUGGUUUUGGUGAAAAUAUCCUUGGGAGCUCAGAAACUCUCAGUCAUGAAACAACAGGCCAAGUUUCCCUUCUGGAGGUUAACAAAGUUUCCUGUACAACUGGAUCAAUAUUCACAUGUAAGACAUGUUCCUUCAUGGUUAUAAACAGUGUGCCUUGCAGAAGGCUUUACUCUGUGAUCUUUCCCUCAUUGCUGUUCUUGCUCCGUAGAUGACUAUGGAAAAUGUCAGUCCUUUUUUUUUUUUACUUGAGGGUAGAGGACUCCAACACUCCAAUUCCCAGUGGAUUAACCACUUUAAAUAAAGUGCUGGCAUCUGUAUCUUCAGGUUUGCUUAUGUUACCAUUUCCUGAUUUUCCAUUUCUGGAUAAAAGAGGUUCAACAUG